CGACCACACAUCAGCUUCUGCAACAAUCAUCUAUCACGUUCACCCACCAUUACUUCUUUCACAAACGGUCCUCGUCCAUUCAAAAUCCUUUUGCCUGCGCCCGCAACGAUCGUCCUCUCCUUCUUUUCUAUUUUUACCCGCUCUUUCCCUUUGUCUUGUGUUGGUACUUGGAAAUUCGGCACUUCCACACGAUGCAAUUUAUCGUCACCUUUCUUCAACUUCUUUUCGAACCCCUUCUCUCUCACCAGCUCCAGGAACUCUUUGAACAGGGGAUCAGCGUUGAGGGUUUUGGCGCUUGCGAAAAUGACCAGCUUCUUUUUGGCUCGGGUGAAGGAUACGUUGAUUCGACGCCAGUCUCUGAGAAGAUCACCAAUCUGCCAUAUAUUCAGCUAGAAAUCGACUGGAUCAAAAUGUAGAGCAACUCACAUUACCACUCUCGUUCGAUCUGACCAGGGAAACCAAAAUACAAUCCUUAUCUCUACCUUGAGACUUGUCUGCUGUCAAGAUCUCGACUCGCGGAAUAGGCUUGAGAUAAGAAGAUAAAAGCUUGAUUUGUUGACGAUAAGGCGUGAUGAUCGCAAUAUCUUCUUGUCGCACGCCCGAAGCUAUGAGGGCAGUCGACAGCUAAUUAAAGGAUCAACGACGGUCAGCCAUACGCAGAAAGAUACAGUAUAAUGUCGAUAUCCACCUGUUGGACGAGCUUCGCUUCUGUCUCAUUCUGCACCAAAUCCCCUACUCGCGAGUCUAAUGCAGGUAUCCUAUCCGUGUCAAUAAAGACACAUUUUGCGCUUUCUUCCAACAAGUCUUGGAUCCAACACCUUUUCCCUUGAUCGCACGUACACCCGGCGUCUCCAAAGAUCUCCUUACAUCUCUUUCGAGAACGCAGUUUGAGUCCGCUCUGGGCCACUUGCUCAUUCCCACACUUCAACCGACCCUCAUAUACGAGCUUAUUCGACAAUGCCAUAAUAUCCUCGUUCAUUCUAUACUGGUAAGAAAGAUCAACGACAGCCGAUGGAUGUGUGGCAGAGAGAUGCCGGAAGAGGGAAACAUCCAGUCCACCACGACGAGCUUCUGCGUGACGGACGAUAGGCGGUAGUUGGUAGUGGUCUCCGACCAGAACAAACUUGUCUGCCAUUCGCAGGGGACCGAUGCAGGUGGGAAGCGUGAUUUGAGAAGCCUCGUCGACAAUGCAGUAGUCAAAUCGACGACGGAAGAAUAAUGGACUUUUGCACAUCAGUUUUUGACAAGCACUAUCUGAGAAGAUCGCUCACUGAUCAAUAGCAAGACAUGUAGCAGCCACAACGGGAGGUGUCAUCAAUCUCGCAUUCAAUUGAUCCAUACUUGCCGAGGCUUCAUACGCUUCAAGCGUUAAAUGCUGUACAUCUGGGUGGACCUACGACACGUGUCAAUAACUCACGCAUCGACACCCACAAGAAAAGAAAGGAAAAAAAACCUCGUACCUUGUCGAUAUUCCCCAAUCGUAGUACUCCAAACUCUGCAUCUGCCAACUUCAUCAGAAUCGCAUCCACCGCAGAGUGUGUAUAAGACGUGAGCAAGACACUCUUCCCUCUCGCUACAAGCGCUUUGAUGAUCUCUGCUAUAGUCGUGGUUUUACCCGUACCGGGCAUACCAAGGAUCAAGGAAUAAUCUCGCGCAGUGAGGACACUCUCCAUGGCCUUUUGCUGAUCAGAGUUGAGAGAUGGAGGGAUCUCUGAAGGUUCGGGACGCCAAGAUGGUUCAAAUUCGGGCGCUGCCUGGUCGACGAUGAGACGCCUUCGCGCCCCAUCCCCGUUUUUGUAAAACAACUGGGCAAGAUUGUUUCUCAUUCGCAUCAUACCACUCGCCAUCUCAUCCUUGUCAAUUCGGAACACCACUUUAUCCCGACUCUGCCCGUCAGAUGCCUUGAGAACGCGGUGCUCUCGCCCUGUCCGUUUCAGGAGAGCAUCAGUGUUGAUGACAUAUGUUACGCCGACAGUGACACUGGUCUGGGUAAGAUCAGUAACGAAGCCUCGCCACAUACAAAGAAGAUCAGGCUCAAUAGAAAGAGAGACAGGAUCGCCUUUAGCGAUGUGUCCGGAAAGAAGAGAGGUAGUAUUUUCAGAGAUAGCAGAGGGAGCGCGGAUAAAAGUGUAACUAUGGCGAUGGAUUUUUGCAAGAGAUUUUCCGAGGUCGUUGGAGUAUGAUUCAAUGAUCAUAUCACUGAAACAUCUGCAAAAUUCUAUCAGAGCUGUGCUUCCUCGUGAGAAAGAUAUAGGAGGCUUACCUCCCAUUCUUCUCUCUCUGCUUGGCAGUCAUGGUCCAAAGUUGUGACCUAAACUUCACUGUGUCCUGUUCUUCAACUGUCAAGAGGGUGUCCCACUUCUUGUAGAAUUCAGCGUCUUUCUCUGUCAUAUGACCUGUAUGCUCCUCAUAAAGCUCAGCAAUAGGGUCUUCGGGGUCUUGAGGUACCUUGUCGAUGACCUAUAAUAAUCAUGUAAGACCAGCACUCGAGAAAAAAGGAGAAUGCUUACUUUGCGAUAAAGCAUACAACUCUCGACAGCGUAACACAUCUUACAGUCCCUCAUAUUAUCGAUGGUCGGCGGCAAGAACGCCUCCUCGACCUCUGUUUCCAGCUUCUCUUCUCUUUUCUCUUCUUUGAGCAUCUCCUUCUUGACGACACUCUUUCUCAAGAUCUCUACUGGCCUAUUACCUUCAGGCAAAUGUUUGGGUACUUUACGCUGCUUUGAAAUGUACAUUGCAAGCUCGUUACGGGCCAUAAUGAGGGCACGAAUCUCAUUCUGCUUGGCUUCGACUCGAAGGAUGGUGUCAAGCGCGGAAUAGUACAAGAGACCAGCAGGGACGGGAACACCUGCAUAGUUUUGUCAACUCUAUGGGCCUGGCCAGCAGAUCGUGGAGUAUAACGCACCAUACCGAUCUUCCAUGAGAAGGGUAUACAACAUUGUCUGCGCUCGAUGAGCCAUUACACCCACAGAUCUGCCCGUUUUGAUCUCGAAUGGAGCAACGUGUUCUUCGGCCUGUGAACCGUGCAGAGGAUCGCGGAUGAUCUUGGCCUGGACAGAAGCGUCUACUUUACCUUUGAGACCCCAUUUGGGCGACCAAAUUUCUUCUUCCACCUCGUGAAGACCAUUAAUGGCGAGAAGGGCGGGCUGAUCGCCUGCGCUAGAAUGAAGUUCUCCUUCCGGCUAAAUUUCGAUUAAGGGGUCAACGUUUGACAACGAGUACUAAAAGUAGCAUAACCCGCUUACCUUUGGGUCUUUUGUGAUGUAACGCUCGCCAAAGACUUCAAACCCUCUCCCUGCCUUCACUCCAACUUCUUCCCUCACAUCUAGGAUCCCCAUAUCUGUACUCCAAAUGUCUAACUUUAUCUCAUCCUUUUUUAACUCAGCAUCUAGUCUUCUGAAAGUGCCGCCGGCAUCAAAAUCUUGUUGCAACAAUGCGCCCUGAAGCAAAGAAUGCAAAAGGGUACCGUAGAGGAGGGGUUUCGUAGGUGGACCUGGCGUUCGGAUAAGUGAUUGGAUGAUAGGUUUACGGGGACAGGGCAUGGCGUUGGCAAUAGAGGUCAUGGUAAUCAUAAGGUCGGGGUGAUGUAUUAAAAAGGUAGAUGGGUCUUUGAAGGUUACCGAGAUUGGCUUGGUGGUUUGAGUUGCUAGUAAGGGAGAGAUAAUGUUAAUGAUGUCGCCUACAGAAGAUACAUUAUGUCCGCCCAUCGAUCCUUGAGGUGUACUACUCCACGAGCACCUCCCUCCGUUAGAGUAAUUAUGAGAGACUUACAGAGAGUGUCAGAAUCUUGUGGUCUAAACGAUCACGCGAAAGCACUCACUUUGGCAAAAGAAACUUCAACAACCUCUAUUCUCUCAAGCUCGCUCGUCGACGGAAUAACACCGUCUUCG
rnacentral:sRNA from 1 species